CUGGGCGACAGAGCGAGACUCUAUCUCAAAAAAAAAAAAAAAAAAAGGCAACUGGGCCCCAGGGACUACUACCACCAAGAUGCGGAGACUGGUAGUGGCCCUGAAUGCCUGGCUGUGCUGUUAUUUAUUGUAUACAAGGCCAGGGGACAGGGUAAGGAGUGUCAGUCAUCUCCAAUGAUAGGUAACGGUCAUGUGAGUCACGUGUCCACCAGACGGGGGGGCCCUUCCCUGUUUGGUAGCCAAGGCGGAGAGAGAGGGGGGACAGCGUACGUCAUUAUUUCUUCUAUGCAUUUCUCUGAGAGAUCAAAGACUUUAAUAUUCUCACUAAUUCUGCUACUGCUAUCUAGAAGGCAGAGCCAGGUGUACAGAGUGGAACAUGAAAGUGGACCAGGAGCAUGACCGCUGAAGCACAGCAUCACAGGGAGACGUUUAGGCCUCCGGAUGGCUACAGGCAGGCUUGACUGAUGUCAGGCCUUCCACAAGAGGUGGUGGAGCAGAGUCUUCUCUAACUCCCCAGGGGAAAGGGAGACUACCGUUCCCGGUCUGCUAAGUAAUGGGUAAUGGGUGCCUUCCCAGGCACUGGCGCUACUGCUAGGCCAAGGUCGCUAAGUAACGGGUGCCUUCCUGGGCACUGCCGUUACCGCCCUUUAGUGGCCCUGUCCGGGUGUGACAGAGGGCUCACACUCUUGUCUUCUGGUCACUUCUCACCGUGUCCCUUCAGCUCCUAUCUCUGUAUGGCCUGGUUUUUCCUAGGUUAUAAUUGUAGAGCAGAUAUUAUUAUAAUAUUGGGAUAAAGAGUAAUGCUACAAAGUAAUGAUUGAUAAUAUUCAUAUAAAAUCAUGUCUAUAUUCUAUGUCUAAUAUACCUAUUCUUAUUUUAAGGAUUUUCUUUAUUAUACUGGAACAGCUUGUGCCUUCAGUCUCUCGCCUCAGCAGCUGGGUGGCUUGCCGCCCACACACCUGUAAUCCCAGCACUUAGGGAGGCUGAGGUGGGUGGCUCACCUGAGGUCAGGAGUUCAAGACCGGCCUGGCCAACAUGGUGAAACCCUGUAUCUACUAAAUCUACUAAAAAUAUAACAAAUUAGCUGGGUAUGGUGGCAUGCAGCUGUAGUCCCAGCUACUCAGGAGGCUAAGGCUCGAGAAUCACUUGAACCCAGGAGGGGGAGGUUGCGGUGAGCCGAAAUUGUGCCACUGCCCUCCAGCCUGGGUGACAGAGCGAGACUGUCUCAAAAAAAAAAAAAGAAAGAAAAUAGUACCUCCUUUUUUUUUUUUUUUGGAGACUCUGUCUCCCGGGCUGGAGUGCAGUGGGUGCGAUCUCAGCUCACUGUAACCUUCACCUCCUGGGUUCAAGCGAUUCUCCUGCCUCAGCCUCCUGAGUAGCUAGGAGUCCAGGCAUGCACCACCAUGCCCGGCUAAUUUUUUUGUAUUUUUAGUAGAGACGGGGUUUCCCCAUGUUGGCCAAGCUGGUCUCGAACUCCUGACCCCAAGUGAUCCAACUGCCUCGGCUUCCCAAAGUGUUGGGAUUAUAGGCGUGAGCCACCAUGCCCGGCCAGUAUCUCAUUCUUAAUAGCUCAUAUGCAUUGGGACUUCGAGUAGGGUAGGCAUCGUAUUGAGCACUUUACAUGCAAUAGCUUGUUUAAUCCUCACAUCAGCUCUACUAUCCUUCAGGGAACAGUCCCUGCCAGUUGAAGUGACUUGCUUGAGGUCAGGAGGCUACCAAGUGCAUAGUCUAUUCAGCCUCCACCUGAGCCCAGAACCUCAGUAUUUUUUCCUCAUAUUGUACCUAAGAGUUAUAAAGUUCCCUAGAUGUUUUAUGUAUAUUAGAACAGUGCCAGCCACGUAGUAAAUGCUAUACAAUUCUUUGCUAUUAUGAUUAUUUUACAUUUUAUAUUCCCUGUAGUUAAUAAUUGCCUUGUUUUUAAUGUACUUUGUUUUGUUUGUAUAAGUAUCAUUAAUUCAGUUCCAAUAUAUCAGAAGUAUAAAUCUUUUGGGUGUUCAAACACAUCACCUACUUUCAAUUUUAUCUUUUCCUCCGUCCUCUCCCAACCUGAAUUAAUUACCCCGAAAUAAAUGUAAAGUAAUAC
rnacentral:lncRNA from 1 species